rnacentral:rRNA from 1 species
UUAUAAUUAAAGUUAAAUUAAUAAGAAAUUAAAUGGAAUCAUUAAAUUUAAAAAAUUUGACGGUAUUUUAAAUAGUUAGAGGAAUUUGUUAAUUAAAUGAUAAUCCACGAUUGGAAUGUCCUAGUGAAGUUUUUAUGUAUUGUUGUAUAAAAAUUAUUUUAUGAGAAUGAUAAUUAACAUAUUUUAUUUAAUUUGAAUUCAAAUCAAAAUGUAGAAUUAUUAGGAUAUAAUGAAUUACAGCUUAAUAUAAUAUUAAAAUUAUUUUUUUAAUUAAAAUAAUUAAAUAGGAUUUAAAAGUAAAUUUAUAAAAAUUUUUAAAUUGAAAUAUAAAUUAAAAUAUG